rnacentral:tRNA from 1 species
AUUUAAAUAGUUUAAUUAAGAAUAAUAAUUUGUGGUGUUAUUGGUGAAUGAUCUAUUCUUUAAAUC